rnacentral:rRNA from 1 species
GGAUAUGCAUAUCAAUAAGCGGAGGAAGAUUCCGAAUGUGAAUUUGAGUAUUGUCUGAUCAAUAAGCAGAAGAUAAAUCUUUCAACGACGGAUCUCUUGGUUCUGGCAUCGAUGAAGAACGCAGCGAAAUGCGAUAAGUAAUGUGAAUUGCAGAAUUCAGUGAAUCAUCGAAUCUUUGAACGCACAUUGCGCCCUGUGGUAUUCCGCAGGGCAUGCCUGUUCGAGCGUCAUUAUAACCACUCAAGCCUCGCUUGGUGUUGGGGCUCGCAAUCUUGCGGCCUCUAAAAUCAGUGGCGGUGCCAGUAGGCUCUGAGCGUAGUACAUCUCCUCGCUAUAGAGUCCUAUCGGUCCCCUGCCAAAACCCCCAUAUUUUUAUAGGUUGACCUCGGAUCAGGUAGGGAUACCCGCUGAACUUAAGCAUAUCAAUAGGCCGGAGG